rnacentral:rRNA from 1 species
GAUGAACGCUGGCGGCGUGCCUAAUACAUGCAAGUCGAGCGAACAGACGCUGAGCUUGCUCCUCUGACGUUAGCGGCGCACGUGUGAGUAACACGUGUAUAACCUCCCUAUCAUUCUGGUAUAACUUCGGGAAACCGGAGCUUAUACCGGAUAAGAUAUUGCACCGCAUGGUUCAAUAGUGAAAGACGGUUUUGCUGUCACUUCUAGAUGGAUCCGCGCCGCAUUAGCUAGUUGGUACGGUAACGGCUUACCAAGGCAACGAUGCGUAGCCGACCGGACAGGCUGAUCGGCGACACGGGAACGGAAACACGGACCAGACUCCUACGGGAGGGAGCAGAAGGGAAUGUGACGCAACAGGCGAAAGCUUUGCGGAGCAGCGCCGAGUGAGUGAUGGAGGUGUUGGGAUCGUAAAAACCUGUUAUUAGGGAAGAACAAAUGUGUAAGGAAAUAUGCACGUAUUGACGGUAACGAAUCAGAAAGCCACGGCUAACUACGUG